UACGGGGGGGGCAAGCGUUGUUCGGAAUUACUGGGCGUAAAGGGCUCGUAGGCGGCCAACUAAGUCAGACGUGAAAUCCCUCGGCUUAACCGGGGAAUGGCGUCUGACACUGGAUGGCUUGAAUCCGGGAGAGGGAUGCGGAAUUCCAGGUGUAGCGGUGAAAUGCGUAGAUAUCUGGAGGAACACCGGUGGCGAAGGCGGCAUCCUGGGCCAUUACUGACGCUGAGGAGCGAAAGCGUGGGGAGCGAACAGG
rnacentral:rRNA from 1 species